rnacentral:lncRNA from 1 species
AAUAAAAUUUCUGUUUGUAAUCAACCUAAUAUAAAUUCCACACACAAUUAAGAUUUAGGAAUGUGUAACACCCCAAGGCUCUUAAUUUUCAAAAGUCACAAAACUAUGUUUACUCAAAUGGUUUGACAUUAUUUAAAAAUUGGAUUCUAUCUUAUUCUCUUGAGGAAAUUUUUGGGUAGUUAGAAGUUUUGACAUAAUUAAUUUCUGAAUAUUUAACAUUCAUCUUUCAGAUUUUCCUGACAUCAAUGUAUCCUUUUGAGUAUAUUAUCAUAUCUCUUAACAUUUCUGUUUCAUCCUUCACCUGGGACUUUUUUUUUUUUUUAAUCUUGAGAUAAUUCUUGGCUUUGUCAAGGCUACUGGUGACAAAAGCAUUAGCAAGCAGGUGCAGAGUGCUUUUUCCACCAAAGAAGAGACAUUUUACUCUUUGGGGUUAUAUUAAUGACUAAUUCACCUCUCUGUCCUCCUCAAUGCCAUCUGUCUUUUAUUUGGUCUCCCUGAUGUUAGUCACGACGUCUGCUUAGAAGGAUUUGUGUCUUACUUGGAUAUAGGUUCUAUACUCAAUGCUAGGGAACAAUCAUUGGCAAGAUGUGUCUCCUUUACUCAAAGAGGUUUUAUUGGUCUAUGUUUGGAAAAGAGACAUACAGUCAUUAGAAUGCAAUAUUGUGAAAGUUGACAAGGGAAAUUCUUGGGGUUAUGGGAAUCUUCAAUAUCUUUAUUGAGAAAUACAGAUAUAUACAUUUAUCAAAUCUCAUAAAAUGAUGAAUUUGUAGUAUUUUAUUGUGUAUAAAUUAUGCCUCAAUAAAAGUUCAUUGUAAUGUGCUGAAAGAA